rnacentral:tRNA from 1 species
GCGGGCGUGGCGGAAUCGGUAGACGCAGCAGACUUAAAAUCUGCCGGCCGCAAGGCCGUGCCGGUUCAAGUCCGGCCGCCCGCACCA